rnacentral:rRNA from 1 species
GGGUCAGUAGGUUGGUCGUGCCACCGGUACGUACUGGUCUCACUGAUUCCUCCUUCCUGAAGAACCGUAAUGCCAUUAAUUUGGUGUUGCGGGGAAACAGGACUGUUACUUUGAAAAAAUUAGAGUGUUUAAAGCAAGCUAACGCUUGAAUACAUGAGCAUGGAAUAAUGAAAUAGGACGAUCGAUCCUAUUUUGUUGGUUUCUAGGAUUGACGUA